UACAGAGGUCUCAAGCGUUGUUCGGAUUCACUGGGCGUAAAGCGCACGUAGGCGGCUUCUUAAGUCAGGGGUGAAAUCCUGGAGCUCAACUCCAGAACUGCCUUUGAUACUGAGGAGCUUGAGUCCGGGAGAGGUGAGUGGAACUGCGAGUGUAGAGGUGAAAUUCGUAGAUAUUCGCAAGAACACCAAUGGCGAAGGCGGCUCACUGGCCCGGUACUGACGCUGAGGUGCGAAAGCGUGGGGAGCAAACAGG
rnacentral:rRNA from 1 species